GAGAGAAGGUGUGAGGGAGCGGGAAGCAGCCCUGACCCGGCUCCUCCGCGCCGUGGGCCUCGCUCCUGGCUCUCUGGCCGCCGUGAGCACCCGAGGUCGGGGUCUGUGGCCUGGAAGCUGGCCUGGGUCGGACCAGCCGGCGUUGACCUCAGGCUCGGUCUGGAGCAGGUGAAAACCGUCAGAAAAGCCACCAGGAGGUGAGCACAUAAGCUUCCUUAGUCCCAGUACUCCCACCUAUGGAUUCGCCUUCUAGUCUCAGAAAUGCCUCCAAGGAGUGAAAACCGAACACAUGGGCACACAGCUAGAAGAUGAAUGAUAUCGACACUAACCCAGAGCAGGAUGGGUCUUCAA